CUUCUGACUGAAGAUGGCGGCCUGAGCAAAUAUAUUCAUUUUUCUGCCCUUUUAGAAUUUUGUUGGAAUUAAAGUACAGAACAAUAAAAAGAAACAAACCGUAACAGUGAAGAAACUGGUGGAGAGUUGUACACGGGAUGACAAACGAAUGGGAUAGAUUUCUAGAAGACAGAGAGAACAGUCAUAAAGUUGUAAAAGCUGUUUCUCACUCCAGCGCCAGCUUUCAGUUACGUGAAAGACUCAGUUGGAUCUGCAGGGCAGGAUGGAAAUGUAAACAUCCUUGAUUCUGUGUUAUUCAGGACAGUCUAA
rnacentral:lncRNA from 1 species